AUAACCUCAAGAUGGGUCUACUACUCCACAGAAUCAAAUAUUGUAUGAGCUUAGACCAAGAAUGCAUCCACCAUUUGACCUCUGUAGGCUGCUACUCUCUCCUGCCAGCAGUUUCCAUUGGCCAAACCCAACCAGAAUUACAGGGUGUUGGACACCUUCAGAGACUUCCCUGGUGGCUCAGAUGGUAAAGCGUCUGCCUGCAAUAUGGGAGACCCAAGUUCGAUCCCUGGGUUGGGAAGAUCUCCUGGAGAAGGAAAUGGUAACCCACUCCAGUAUGUUGUCUAUGUCGGCCAGCUUCUGGGCCAGAAGCAGAAUGGAGAAAGGAGAGGCUGCACCCACUGCCGGCCGCACCCACUGCCUCCCCUGUGGGGUUGGAGUAGCUAAAGAGAGCUCAAGAAGCAAAGCAUUGGUCCGUACAAUACUUUAUUCACAGAGGAGAGACUCAGCAAGAACCAAGUCUGGUCUGUGGUGUACUGUAUCUUCUGAUCUCCUAAUGUCAACACCAGGUAAUGGCCUGCAUGGUCCCCUCCCUGCUGCAGGCAAAGAUCCUCUCUCCUUCCCACAGGGGCAGAUAAACUAGUGGGCUGGACAAUGCUAUGGGCCUAGGGCCCUGGAGGUACAAUCCCAGGAAGGGAUGACAGACCCCAUGAUAGUUGCUUUCCCAACCAGCCUCUUAAGAGAAAAGCAACAAGAGCUAGUACAAAAUCUACAGCAGAACUUCUGAGAAGCAAAUUCUUUUGUCUUCAUCCCUGUCCCUGUCAUCAGCACCGGCUUGUUCUUGAGCUCUCUCUUCCUCUCAGGCCCCAAAAUGCCCCACAUGCAGCUCAUUCCUUCCCUACCCACCUCAACUUUCUUGGAUUUAUCUUCCAUCCUCUUCCAGUCAUACAUUUUCAGUGCAAAAAUUCCCACAGUCUUUCCUUUGUUUCCUUUACAUGUUGCUGG
ensembl:lncRNA